CUAACAAAAUCCUGGACUACUUUAUUUUCGAUCAAACCCGAAGCACACUACUGGAUUGGCCAAAGCGCUUCCACAUUAUUAAUGGGAUUUCCCGAGGCCUUCUUUAUCUUCAUCAAGAUUCCAGGCUGAGAAUUAUUCACAGAGAUCUUAAAGCAAGCAAUAUUUUGCUAGAUAUUGACAUGAA